UGGCUGUUCUACACCCGUUCAGAGAAGCAUGUUCUGAGAAUGAAUUUACACAAUGGCUUCUUCUUCCUUUAGCUAUCAUUUUGCACACUGCUGUCUGAAAGAGGUCUUGACAGAGACUGUCUCAUAAUAGGGCAAUCUCGAAGAAAUAAGCCAAGUAAAAGUGCAGACAAUAAGGAAGAAAGGAUGUGCCUCUUUAUUUUAGCCCUUUCACUUAAAAGGAAUGGAAAAUAGAAUCUNAAAGNAAANAANAGUGNNNAUUUUUUCUUGAUGAGGUGAUGUAGAANGUACACAUCGCCCGU
rnacentral:rRNA from 1 species